rnacentral:tRNA from 1 species
GCCCGGGUAGCUCAGUCGGUAGAGCAGUGGAUUGAAAAUCCACGUGUCGGCAGUUCGAUUCUGUCCCCGGGCACCA